rnacentral:rRNA from 1 species
UACGAAGGGGGCUAGCGUUGCUCGGAAUCACUGGGCGUAAAGCGCACGUAGGCGGCUUGUUAAGUCAGGGGUGAAAUCCUGGAGCUCAACUCCAGAACUGCCUUUGAUACUGGCGAGCUUGAGUUCGGGAGAGGUGAGUGGAACUGCGAGUGUAGAGGUGAAAUUCGUAGAUAUUCGCAAGAACACCAGUGGCGAAGGCGGCUCACUGGCCCGAUACUGACGCUGAGGUGCGAAAGCGUGGGAGCAA